GUAUGUUAAGAAACUUACUUUUUAACUUCUUGGGUUUUAAAAUGCAAUCUUACCUUUAAGAUGGAGUUCUUCCUGUUUUUACUAUGUUGUUUAUGACUGGGCUUGCUUGCCAUUAUUAAUUGCCUAGGUUGCAGAUCAUUUGAUUUAGGGCUGAAGGAAGAAAAUCAGCAUCUGGGUAAAGUUAAAGAAAAUAAGCUAGGCCUUUUAGCAGGCUAAAGUAAAUCUUACAAUAGCCUGAUUUAACUGACACAGUGAAGACAUGGGCUAUGCUGAGGUGUAUUCUUAUCUGGGGGAUAUUCAAGCAUUCCAGUCCAAGUUACUCCUGGGUUUUUAGUUCUAACUAAUCUCACUGAAGAAUGCCUAUAUUCCUAGUUUGACAUUUUUACCGUAGAGAAUUAAUGUAAGUCUGACUUUGCUUAAUGUUUAAUAAGGAGUUUUGGUAGGGGUUUCUUUGCACAUUGUUAAGUUGUUCUGGCUGUGAUUAACCUGCUUUACUUUUUCCCGGAGGCCCUCACCCUACUCUGUCUAAACCCACAGUCCUUGUCUCAAUAGCCUCAAGCCAACAGCGUAGGCGCAGGCGCCCAUCUGCACAGGCGUGCAUCUGCACAGGCGUCCUGCCGAGCGAGCUCUCCUCACCCUUGCUCUGCACUCAACUCCGGGCGCUUGGGCUAUGUUGGCUCAGCAGCUCUCUUGAAGGUCCCCUCAUUCUUGAGCGGGGAGUAAGGACCACUUUUUCCUUAAAGAAAAGUUCUUUUCAGUUUCAUUUCUAGUCCCACACUGCGGCCUAGUGGUGGUGGCUAAAGGUCAAGGACCAAUUUGUUGCCAUCUUUCUACAAGUCUCUCCAGUUGAGGGGCGGAGGGUGGGGCACUCUUUUUGGAGCUUUGACCAAAAUCUCUGGACUAGGAGAUUUUGAAAAAUCUUGUAACAUGAAAAAAGGUUUUGCACCUGUAGGGAUUCAAUAUGCACCUCAAUGGCAUAAUGAUUAUUUUAAGCUAAGAACAUCUGAACAAACAGCAGCUACAGAAAAAAAGCCUCCUUUUGCAGAUGUAAGCAGGACCUCCUGGAAAAUACAGCUGCCACACAUCCCCUCUCUGGGAGGUUUACAGCCAGAGAGGAGACUGCCAUUAGCACUGGGAUGAGUAAUUGCUUCAACAAACUUUAGCUGUUCUACCUUCCAUUUGUUCUUUCAGAGGCUCCUUUCUCCCUCAUCCCUUUCCUCUUAUUAAGUGGGUUUAUAAACCUCUUUCUUUGGAUGUCUGGGGAGCCAGUUCAUUGGAAGGGCCCCUGGUAAAUAAACUUUCCCCUCUCUCCUGUUAAUCUGUGUGUUGUUAGUUAAUUCACAGGCCCCCAAGCACUGACCCUAAAUCCGUGGAGGAAAAUGCUUUCCUCCCAACAAUUCUCCUCCAGACAAGUGUGUGGAUGAUGGUCUCAGACUUUCUAUCUGGUACUGGACUGGCUCUUUCCGCUCUGCCAGUGUUACAGCAGAGCCCAGGGUUCCCUCACUCGCACCCUAUCUCUCAUAUGUGCUGAUUGGAUUAGAAGAGAUGGGGAAAGAGAGAACAUGAGAGAUUAUACUGCUAAACUUGUUACUUAUGUAAGUUAUUGCACCUCCAGCUCAGCCACAAUUGCCCAAAAGGCUGAUGUGUGCCCGGGAGAGGCUGCACAAAAGGAAGGCUUUCCUGGUUUCAAAGCAAUAAUGGCCAGGAGAGGGCAUGAAUUAUGCUUGUUUUCAUUCCAUCUGGUCUCAUUGCAUUUGAAUGGAAUAUAAAAUGUCACCAGGUGGUGAUUACACAGUGACUGAACCCCACCCAAAAAAGUCAACAGCGUCUGUAUUCGUCAGCUUGGGCUGCCAUAACAAAAUGCCACAGACUAGGGGCUUCAACAGCAGGAAUUUAUCUCUCACCGUUCUGGAGGCUGGGAGUCUGAGAUCAGGGUGCCAGCUGACUUGUUCUUGGUGAACAAGCCUCUUCCUAACUUGCAGAUGUCAGCCUUGCUGUGUCCUCACAGGGCUGCAUGGUGGGGUUGGGGCAGGGGGAGCUCUGGUGUCUCUUCCUAGAGGACAUUAAUCCUAUCAGUGGGGCCCAUUCUUAUGACCUCCUCGAAACCUCCUCACUCCCCAAAGGCCCCUUCUUCAAACACCAUCACUCUGCGGCUCAGGACUUCCACAGAGGAAUUUGGGGUGGGAGACACACAAACAUUCCAGCCAUACCAGUUUCUCUAUAAACAAACACUAACCAGUUAAAAAGUAUUAUAAUAAAUACAACAUGAAGUGUUUGUGUUAAAAUAUGUCACUUUUGUGUUUCCACCAUCCUUUGGUGGAUCUCACCAGCAGACAUCAAACCUACCUUCCCCGUCCCCCUCCUGCUAGUGACUCAACCCACCCUCCCUGGGAAUUACAGGCUCCAACAGGAGAAUCCGGUGUAGAAAAAAUUCUGUGUUUCAAUAGGAACUGUGUGCCAUCUGACACACUCCCUUCUGGGUCCUCAGCUCUGUUGUCUUUGAGCUAUUUGCAACUCUUAGUAUGUCCUAAGUGACUGAUGCAUAACUGCUGCCCUGUUUGGAAGUGAUUCUGACUUCCUCCCACUGUGGAAAAAUUACUUUUGUCCCUGUUUGCAAUUCAUCUCAACAUUCCUUUAUUCCACAAAAAUGUGUGCCAUUUUGAGUUGUCCUUUGAAAUGGUUGUAACCUUGGCCUGGUUUUCUCAGAUUUUAUGAGUCAAAUACAUUCUUCCACAUGUGUUCCAUUCAUUUUUCCAUCUGUAAGAGAGUCUUGGAAAGGUAAGAUCCUAUCUUUCCCUGAAAAUUAUCUUAACACAGGGGAGCCUUUGGGAGAAGGGGCAGGGCUCAGCUUCCAGAGAACAGGGGGAGUUUCCAGGCCCUGUGGCUUCACCGUUCUGGGCCAUGGCCACCCAUCUUCCCCACAUGUGGGGUGGUUCUCAACUCCUUUUUUUCUAGCACCCCUAUAUCCAACCCUGUGGCAGGCUGAACAAUGGCCCUUGGAAGAUGUCCACGUCCUCACCUCUAAAACCUAUACCGCUGGAAAUCCACUUCAAUCCUGUCACUGCCACCAAAUCUGUUACAGAAUAAAAACCCAACUGAGGAUGUCUGGAGAUCUAAUUGGCUGUAUUCACUGACCAGGAAUGAGGCAGCAUCCCAUCUACAAACAGGUAACAACGCUCUCCUGCCCCUACCCUGUAUACUGUCCUGCCAGGAGCCUUUAAGAUUGCCCCUUAAUUCCUGGCCUGAAGCCGGACCAUGAAGUGUGUCCCUGUGAGUCUCUUUCCUUUCAGUCAGUUCAGCACCUGGGGGUCUUUCCUUCUGGAGACUUGGCUUCAGGCACCUACAGGAAUCGACCCAGACCUUCAUUUCAAAUGUAAGUGGGCAGCCACUGAGCACCAGACAUUUCCGCAAAAUGGACAGCAAAACUGAGAAGGACCAAGACGAGCAACAGAAGAAAACAGAUCAUUCAGGGAACCGAAAGUUCCAAAGUGCUGAGGGCCCCUCUGGGUCCAUGGCCUCUGUAACCCCGGUGGCCAGGGGCUGCUCAUGAUUGUCCUUUCCUCACCCCCUCACCCCUCCCGCCCCAGGCAGUGGUUUGAUAUCUGUCCCUCUCUUUUCCGACCUCCAGUGUGCCUCCCCAGUCCUCACCCUUAGCAUUCCCUUGGUUUCCCUGAGAACUGGAGACUCCGAGGGGGGUUCUCAUGAGCUCCCACCCAGGCCCGCCACUUUCCCGAGGCUGCCAUGAGCCCUGCUCCCUGACUGUCUUCAUGAGUUGCCGCCCUGCUCAGUGAGCCCAGCUGCCCCUGAGCCGAGGUUGCCCCCCUCUCCAUCUUAGGGACGUAGCUCACCCUCUUCCCACUGCAUGCCAGCAUGCAAACGUGAUUUUUUACAUCUUGAAUAACAACAAACAAUACUCUGCUGCCCCCUCCAGACACUGCCUUUUUCUUCCUCCCUUUGCAGGUAACUUGAAACCCUUGUCUAUACUCAUUGCCCCUGAUUCUUCAUCUCCUAUUAUCUCAACCAGGAUUUUGCCCCCACCAUUCUACAAAACAACCAUGACAAGAUCAGUCAUGACUCCUUGUAACUAAACCCAAGGGCCAGUUCUCAGGCCUUGUGGACACAGGUCACCACCUGCUUUCUGGGACACCAUCCUCACUGCUUCCAGCCUCUGCAGUCCCCUCCUCCCUCUCCUUGCUGGCUGGCCCUCAACUGCCCACCCUCCUAACACUGCAAUCUCUGGCCUCAUCCCUGAAACUCCCCUCUCUGUUUAUACUCUUCUUGGGCUAAGCCCAUCUACACACAGUUGCUGCAGCCCUGAAUUUACUCCUGAACUUGAGACGUGUGUAUUUAACUUUACUUUUGGAUGUCAGGGGACACCUGCUAGCGAUCCAACACAGCACUCCCAACCUCCAAAUGGCCCCCCGUGGCCAGGAUGACUCUUUUGAAAAGCAAAUGUUAUCUCCUCAUUUCUCUGCUGGAAACCAGUCAGGGGCUCCACCUGCCACCCUGAGAGAAAGCCGUUGCUCUUAGUGGCCUCCAGGACGGCAGGCUUGUAGGUCAAGAGGGAGAGCUCAUUUUGAGCGGGCCAAUACUGAGGUUCCUGAGGAAUGUCCCCUUGGCUGUGUCCAGAACAAAAAGGAGAACCAAGAGCAUAUUCUGUUUAUAGAACAAGAACAGAUGCUUACAGAAAAAGUUGCAAGAAAGAAUUCUAGGAAACUAGAAAUAUUUGUUAACUUGAAAAGAAUCAACAGUUGAACAGAAAGGUGAAAUUACAGAAUCUGUCUACCUGGGGAUGCCAAUGUAAAUAAGUCGUAUACAUAUAAUCUGCUUUUAUAUUAUUUUAAAUACAAAAUGUAAAAAUAAAUACACAUAUUUGCAACACAAUGCCCCAAACUCCCCAAAUCUAAAGUGUGCCUCUUCCCAAACUGAAGACAUUCUUCUACCCAAUCAGAAAGUCAGCACUAAGUGUUGGUGUCACACCGACGUCACAUUGCACCAGUUCUCCCAGCGAUCACACUUGGCACUGAUGAAUCGCAUCGCUUUCGUCUCCUUCAGUCUGGAGCAGUUCUUAGUCUCUCCCUGUCUUUACAACCUUAGAAGUGUGGGAGUCCAGGUCUUACGUUCUGCAGGAUGUGGCUCAGCCUGGGUUCCCCAGGAGGUGACUCGCCUUGCAUUCUUGGGGGGAUUAUGCAGGAGUGAUGUUAUUCUUCUCCCACUGUGUUGUGCUGGGAGGCUCAUGGGGUGUGCUGUUAAUCUGGAUCACUUGGUCAGCUUGGCGGCUGCCAGGUUUCUCCACAUUAAGACAUCAUUGUCUUCUUUGUAACUGAAAUGUUUUAGUGGGAAGAUAUGCUCACACUACACCAGUUUCCCGCACUUCAUCACAGCUCCAUCCAUUUGACUUCAUAUCUGUUGAUGACCCUUGCCUCAAUCAACCACCAUGGUGGUUGGUGAUUGCCAAAGAGCCCUUGUCUGUUACCGCCAUUCCUACUGCACUUACUGGUUGUCUGUCUGCUGUAAGGAACAGAUUCCCUUUUCCUUUACUUGUUUAUAUCAGUGUAGGCUCGUGGGUUCCUAUUUAAUUAAGUGGAUAUAACCAUUUAUCAUCACUGUUUUUAUAUCCAAUCAUCCCACAUUUGGCCAGCAAGAGAGCCUUGUCAAAAUUGGCUCCUGUGUCCUUUAGAUUUGUCCCCAUAAUUUUUUCUUUUUAGCAAUUCUUUACUUACUGGCACAAGAAAAUGUUCUAAGCCCCUCUGGUGCAUUCUCUGCCUCAGCCUUGGAAUCGAUUAUUUCUCCAAGGAGUCCUGGAGUGAAGAAUAUUUGGAAACUAAAAUCUGGGUACUUGGUUGCUUCUGAAAUGUCAUCAAUUGUAGGCCUUCUCAACAUCCAGAGGUGGCAUAUAUAUGAAUACGUAUACACAGAAAUGUGUGUGCACACCUUACAUACAACUAUAGCUAGUUCUAUAUCUAUGUAUUUAUUUUUUAAAAGCCCAUGAGUUCACGUUGGUGCCUCCAAUUCCAAUUGAAUAAGACCAGAUGGAUAUUUUUAACCUUUCUCUUUUCCUAAUAUGCAAAUCCCUUCUCUGUCAGCAAGAAAACGGUCUCUCAUUAUCUUCAAUAUGGUUAUUUGUGUGCUCAGUCUCUGUGUGACUCAUUUCCCUGCCUCAGCUCCCAAACCCCUCUGCCUCCAGUUUUGUGGUUACUAUGCUGCCAACAGAAGAGGAAAGAAGUGGAGAAUGGAGGGGAAGAGGGGAGAAAACCGACUUGUACAGGAAGGAGGGAUGGAGAGAAGUACAUAUUUAAAGUUCUCUUUCUUAGAAUUAUUUAUUAAUUCUUCUGGAACUUUUUUCUUUACUAGAUUCUCUCUCAGACCCUCCAAGCCUAGCCACCAGGUGUAUUUGCUGAAGAGCUUCCCUGUCCUCCACUUUAGGACAGUUUGGCUGUGGUUUGUGCAAACACACACAGCUCAAGGAUGGAGGGCAGCUCAUGCCUUGCACUGGCACCAGAACAGGAAGGCGAGGCACGGAGGACACUCUCCAUCUCUCCAGAGCCAAGUGGUUUCUCUUCUUUCUCGGGCCACAGGACCUGCUCAUUGCUCCUCUCUGCCUCUUCUGUCUUCUAAGCACAUGGGCACCACGACCAGCAGCCUCCGUCUGUCUGUCUCUCCAAUGCCCAAAUUUUGAGAGGGAUAAUCUGCUUGUCUUAGUCCAGACUACAGAUUGGUUCAUCUUGGGUCUGGGGUCUAUGUAAGUCUGGGGAGAGGAAA